UUAAAUUGAAGAGUUUGAUCAUGGCUCAGAUUGAACGCUGGCGGCAGGCCUAACACAUGCAAGUCGAACGGUAACAGGAAACAGUUUGCUG
rnacentral:rRNA from 1 species